rnacentral:tRNA from 1 species
AGCCGUGGCCUACCGGUUAGGGCUUCGGACUUGUAACCGGAGGGUUGCCGGUUCGAACCCCGCUACAGCUA